rnacentral:lncRNA from 1 species
UAAAAGUUAUGUGCAUGUGGUCUCUCUCUCUCAAAAAACCUUCUUGUACUGUGCUCACCUUUCCUGUGAUGAUGUGGGAUGAGACAGCACCUACGUGGUGAGAUGGAGUGAGGUGAAUGAUGAAGGCACUGUGACAUAGCCUUACUUUCCCACCACGGUUGACCUUGACUGUGGGUAGCUGAAACCUCGGAAAGGGAAACCGGGCAUAAGGGAGGACUAUGGGAUAUAGACAAGCCUGCACAUAUAUUUGCUUGGAUCUUUUUUCAGGAUACUGAAAGUUAGAAGCAUGCGUCACCUCUGGAAGAUGCAGCCUCAAAUAAAUCUGUAGACCCCCUAGUAUUUUAUUUGGUCUAGAAAAACCUGUAGGGUUCCCAGUACCAAUACCUCCAGUCCCCCUCCCUCCCAGGGUUUCCAGAACCACCAUAUCCCACUUCUCUCUCUCCUCCUUGUUCUGUCAUCCUCAUCUGAUUGGCUCACACUGUAGACAUUCCAAGUUCUGAGGGAUCUUUGUGAUAUGAGGAAGGAAGAACUGAGCCGGCUCAGUGGCAAGUUUAGCUCUCAAGCCUACCACAUAUCCGCUUUCUUGGGAACAUCCUUCAGCUGCUGUAUCAUUCAGAAGCGUGAAGCUCUUCCUUAUUCCACCUUAGGGUCUCCCUUGAACUGAGGAAAGCCUAUGAACUCCAAGAGGCAGACCAGAGAGCCUUCCUGUUCUACAGAGAAGACCUCAGUUUCUCCCCAAAGCUCCACUAUGGAGUGACCUACUUGGCAAAUCACAUUCCUUGUGAGAAAAAGGCAUUAAAUCCUCGUCUCCGUGUGUCAGUCAGGGCACGAUUUUUCUGUAGCAAGUUUCCGAGAAGUGAUGGAUCAGUACUUAUGGAGUAUCUGUUAUGGACACGGUAUAAGGAUAUAAAACGAAAAGAAGAUGGGGCUCUUCCCUCUGGGAACUCAUGUUUUCACUGAGGAGACAAGAUGCCUGAAACCAUUGAAAGAAUUAUCACUCCUUUGCCAGGGAGUGAAGGAUGAAGAAGAGAAGGCCAUUGUGGAACUAUGGAGAUUGCAGUGCAUAGAACCUUCUCUACUGAGACACAGGCUGCCUAUUAGUGAACAAAGUCCCUGUAUGAGAAGCUACUAGAGGCUCCUCUUGCUACCUCAUCCCCAGCAUGGCCUGACUCCUCCUCCUGCUGCACUCCCCUUCAUCCACUUUUCUCCUUUCAUUGAAGCUUCUUGGGUUUCUUUACUUCCUACUCACCAGCCAUUUCCAAGGGAGGAUCUGUCUCUCAUCUUCAACGUGUUCAAAUCAAUCGUUCAAGAAAGUUUCCUUAUAACCCCAUCCCAAGCUGUGAGUCAGGACUCACUGUUUCUAGAAAUGUGUACUGUUUCAUUCCUCUCUCAGCCUUAAAAAUGGAUUCUAACCUUAGGUCAGAGGAUGUUAAUAGUUCAAACCAGUCCUUGUCAAUAAAUAUUUAUUUAGCUUCUACCA